GAUGAACGCUGGCGGCGUGCCUAAUACAUGCAAGUCGAGCGAACGGACGAGAAGCUUGUGUCUUUGAUGUUUGCGGCGGACGGGAGAGUAACAUGUGGAUAAUCUACCUAUAAGACUGGGAUAACUUCGGGAAACCGUAGCUAAUACCGGAUAAUAUUUUGAACCGUAUGGUUCAAUAGUGAAAGACGGUCUUGCUGGCAGUUAUAGAUGGAUCCGCGCUGCAUUAGCUAGUUGGUAAGGUAACGGCUUACCAAGGCAACGAUGCAUAGCCGACCUGAGAGGGUGAUCGGCCACACUGGAACUGAGACACGGUCCAGACUCCUACGGGAGGCAGCAGUAGGGAAUCUUCCGCAAUGGGCGAAAGCCUGACGGAGCAACGCCGCGUGAGUGAUGAAGGUCUUCGGAUCGUAAAACUCUGUUAUUAGGGAAGAACAUAUGUGUAAGUAACUGUGCACAUCUUGACGGUACCUAAUCAGAAAGCCACGGCUAACUACGUG
rnacentral:rRNA from 1 species